CACGGGGGGAGCAAGCGUUGUUCGGAAUCACUGGGCGUAAAGGGCGUGCAGGCGGUCAGGUAAGUGGGAUGUGAAAUGCCCCGGCUCACCCGGGGACCGGCAUCUCAUACUGCUUGGCUUGAGUACGGGAGAGGAUGUGGGAAUUCCUGGUGUAGCGGUGAAAUGCGUAGAUAUCAGGAGGAACACCGGUGGCGAAGGCGCACAUCUGGCCCGAUACUGACGCUGAUGCGCGAAAGCCAGGGGAGCAAACGGG
rnacentral:rRNA from 1 species